AGACCACCAGCUAAUGGAUGCGGAGCGGAGGGCCCGCUGACCGCUCUCCGCGCCUGGACAGAGUCUCACACUGUCACCCAGGCUGGAAUGCAAUGGUGCAAACGCAACUCACUGUAGCCUUGACCCACUCGGCUCAAGCAGUCCUCCCUCCUCAGCCUCCCAAGUAGUUGGGACUACAGCUUGGCUUGGCUGGAGCUAAGAGCCAGACACACCACUGUGUGGAGGUGGGUGAUGUCUUCCUGUGCUAAAAGGUGAAUAAAUAAGCUCCUCACCUCUCGCGGAACACUCGGGAACACAUCAACAGGGGUCCAAGCCGCCCUGCUGGGAGGCUUCUCUUCAAGAGUUCUGGGUCCCAGAGUGGAAGGCAUUUUCCCAUCAACUGGAGAGAGACGAAACAUCAGAGACCAGGAGGCUGUGGAGAAAGCAGCUGUCCCAGGUGCCUCAACUAUCAGAGAAGGGUCAGCGUCACGUGGCUGCCAGCAUCUUUGAGAAAAUCACUGGCAAUCGGACUUCAGAGCUGCGGGCACAGGUGUGGUUAGAACUGAGAUACGACCUGCCCACCUGGGUCAGGCCUAAAGACAAGAAGU
rnacentral:lncRNA from 10 species